rnacentral:tRNA from 1 species
AGGGUUGUGGCUCAGGGGUAGAGCGCUCACCUAGCACGUGUGAGGCCCUGGGUUUGAUCCUCAGCAUCACAU